rnacentral:lncRNA from 1 species
GUUGGAAAAUCCCACUUUACUUCAAGUGAAGUCACUGGGUUGUCCCCAUGAAAUAUCUCCACAAUGGGUGUGCUAGACCUUUACUCUCUGUGGCACCACCAAGACCCCCUCACCCUGCCAGAGCCCUCUGAAGUGUACUCAGAAUGGAGGGGCUGGAAGUGGGGCCAGUGGUCCUGGUAGUCAGCCUCCCCUUCUGACACAAGAAUUAUCGUGGAACAGCUUGUGUGACCGAUCAACUGGUCUCUCCAUCUUUAAGCCAUUGUCUUGUUGACUCUGUUACUGCAGAGUUUGGGGAGGUCUCAUGGCUUCUCGCAUCCUAUUUCCUGAGCUUCCCUGAAGCCAACUUCUGGCCACUGGUAUGUGAUGCGAGCACAGUGCCUCCUCCUGCUCCUCCAGGAAGCUUCUGCUGAUUGAACGCAGGCCAGAUGGCGAGAUCCGGAGCAACCUUCUUAGAUCAAGGGAAGAAAGGGGCACAAGAGGGGAGUAGGUAACAAGAUAAAAGGAGCUCCCUCCCUGAUGACUACAGAGCCAUCGUGGCAGCCCUGGGCCUCCAUUUCAGACGUUCAUCUUGCCUAAGCCACCACCAUCAGGGUCUCAGUCAGUCAUCAUUCUCAUUUACUCGGGUGGCUGGGUGAGGGCGGAAUACUACCUUCCAGCUGUCUGAGAUUAAGCCUAAGCCACCACCAUCAGGGUCUCAGUCAGUCAUCAUUCUCAUUUACUCGGGUGGCUGGGCGAGGGCGGAAUACUACCUUCCAGCUGUCUGAGAUUAAGCAGAACAGCAGCUAAAGCAGUAACAGCAGGUCUCCUUCAGCAGCUUGCCACAGGGAAGAGGGUCCCGCGUGAACCGAACUCAACUUCCACCUGCGCAGAGGUAGCUACCAUUUGCGUAGAGGUAGCUGGGUCUUUAAGGUUAGAGGGAAGGCGCAGGGAGGGAGAGACGGCGGGUGGGGGUUGAACAAAGUGGAGAUUCACAAAAGCAGACUAGGGCGGGCGACGUGAUCAGAUGACCUGUGCGGGCGGCAGCCUCCUGCCCUCCUCCCCUUCGUGCGCCGGCUGGAGCGAAGAGUUCUUUUGACAGCCGUGAGCUUCCCCGCCAGGAACUUACUGGGGCUGCAUCACCCUAGAAACGUGGCUUUGGGCUGUGGAAACGCUGCCUCUGUGGAAGUCUCUCCUCGCGGGGGUGGACGGGUCGCUGCGCGCCCAGCGUUCUUCUGCGGUUCUCACAGCCCGCCGCCGCCGCCGCCUCGGGGACCUUUGCGGGGAGGCCUCAGGUACCAGUCAGGACUGGUAGACUUUAAUGUGGAGAACUUCUGAAACAGCAGUUCUCAAAAUGUUACCUCCAGACACACAGAAUCUGCAUCACCCAGGAACUUGUAACCAUGCAAAUUCUCAGCCACCCAGACUUCCUGCAUCAGAAACUCUGGGGCCCAGCAGCCUGUGUUUUAACAAAGCCCUUCAGGCUGGAGUAUAGUGGCAUGAUCAUAGAUCACUGCAGCCUCAAACUCCUGGGCUCAAGCGAUCCUCCCACCUCAGCCUCCAUAUAGCUGGUGGGGACCAAGUUUCUAACACAUGAAUGUUGGGAGACACAUUCAGACCAUCGCAGUGGCCUUAUAAAAAGAGACACAAGAGCUUGCUCUCUGCCAUGUGAGAAUACCACAAGAAGACUGUCCUCAGCAAAUCAGAAAGCGGGUGGACCCUCAUCAGACACCAGAUGUGCCUGCACCUUGAUCUUGGACUUGCCAGCCUUCAGAACAGUAAGAAAGAAAUGUGUGUUGUUUAAGCCACCCAGUCUAUGGUAACUUGCUAUAGCAGCCCACUAGGAGACCCCAAGAUAUUUAAAAACUCAUCAGCACCUGCUUUCUGCAUCUGGACCCUGAUCUUCUGGUGGGUUUACCAGUUACUUGUAGAGUGUCCCUGUGAUAGUUUUAGGUGUCAACUUGACAGGAUUGAGGGAUGCCUAGAUGGCUGGGGAAGCACUGUUUCUGAGAAGGACCAUGUUUUUGGAGGAGACUGUUUUAUGAGUGAAUUUCAGGGGACACAUUCAGAUCAUGGCAGUGGCAUUAUAAAGAGAGACACAAAAGCUUGCUCUCUCUCUCUGCCAUGUAAGACUACCACACAAAGACUGCCAUCUGCAAACCAGAAGCAGGUGGGCUUUCCUCAGACACCAGAUCUGCCUGCACCUUGAUCUUGGACUUGCCAGCCUUCAGAACUCUAAGAAAGAAAUGGUAGCAUGGCUUGGUCUAAGUUGGAAGGCCUGAGAAACAAGCACAUGGUGGAACUGAGUUCAAGGAUAAAGACUUGAGAAUACCUGCUCAGUGGACUGAGUAGGGAAGAUCAACCCUCAAUGUAGGCAGGCACUAUCCAAUCACCUGAGGGCCCAGAUGGAACAAAAAGGUGGAAGAAGGGUGAAUUCUCUCUUCCAGAGCUGUGACACCCUUCUCAUGCCCUUGUACCACACAACUCUAGGUCCUUUGGCCUUUGGACUCUGACACUUGCACCAGUGGCCCUCUGGGGCUCUCAAGCCUUUAGCCUUGAACUUAGUUACACCAUGUGCCUCCUUGUUUCUCAGGCCUUCCAACUUGGAUCAGGCCAUGCCACCGGCUUCUCUGAUUCUCCAGCUUGCAGAUGGUAUAUUGUGACCCUGGCAUUUAAUAACUAUGACUUUGGUCUUAAGCAAUUUUCUUCCUCUGUGGAUUGAUAUUUACAUAUCAAUGUGGAUAAUAAUUUCUUACCACGGUAACUGUUGUGAGGUAAAAAUGAGUUAACAUAAGUAAAACCGAGCACAUGCAAACCAUCCGAAAUGGUUAAUACUUACUAUUUGUACUUGAAGAAAUAAAUGUUUUUGACAAUAAACUUCUUGUGCAGUUUUCCUC